GUGAACGCUGGCGGUAGGCCUAACACAUGCAAGUCGAACGGCAGCACAGUAAGAGCUUGCUCUUCCGGGUGGCGAGUGGCGGACGGGUGAGGAAUACAUCGGAAUCUACUUUUUCGUGGGGGAUAACGUAGGGAAACUUACGCUAAUACCGCAUACGACCUACGGGUGAAAGCAGGGGAUCUUCGGACCUUGCGCGAUUGAAUGAGCCGAUGUCGGAUUAGCUAGUUGGCGGGGUAAAGGCCCACCAAGGCGACGAUCCGUAACUGGUCUGAGAGGAUGAUCAGCCACACUGGAACUGAGACACGGUCCAGACUCCUACGGGAGGCAGCAGUGGGGAAUAUUGGACAAUGGGCGCAAGCCUGAUCCAGCCAUACCGCGUGGGUGAAGAAGGCCUUCGGGUUGUAAAGCCCUUUUGUUGGGAAAGAAAAGCAGCAGGUUAAUACCCCGCUGUUCUGACGGUACCCAAAGAAUAAGCACCGGCUAACUUCGUG
rnacentral:rRNA from 1 species